AAUCUACAGAUUACCUGUGGGCGCAUUUAAGGAUUUUUGGUAGAAACUAGCUUGCAGAUUACACUUAAUUUUAAUCUUUCUACACUUGACCGUGUUUUGAAAGGAGUUGGUAUAGUUUUUGAGCUAACAAUUCAUUGACCUUUGGAUGAUUGCUUGUGGGACAUUUUGUGAGAUAACUUGCCAGAAAAUUUUACUCAAAAUCAGAUCUCCACCGACCUUCUGAAAGGAUAUUCCUUACGGCGAGGACUCUUGUGAUCAUACUAGAAAUGUUGAUUUUAAGGAAAUUGUGGCGUUGGCAGACUUGAAAAAGGUACAAUCUUAUUGGAGUGUUACGGUGUUAUUCACAAAAGAUAUCAAUAUAAAUAACGAACCUCCUUAGCUACGGU